UACGUAGGGACCAAGCGUUGUUCGGAUUUACUGGGCGUAAAGGGCGCGUAGGCGGCAAUUCAAGUCAUCUGUGAAAUCUCCGGGCUUAACCCGGAACGGUCAGGUGAUACUGUUUUGCUAGAGUGCGGAAGGGGCAAUCGGAAUUCUCGGUGUAGCGGUGAAAUGCGUAGAUAUCGAGAGGAACACCAGAGGUGAAGACGGGUUGCUGGGCCGACACUGACGCUAACAGCGCGAAAGCCAGGGGAGCAAACGGG
rnacentral:rRNA from 1 species